rnacentral:rRNA from 1 species
CCUACGGGAGGCAGCAGUGGGGAAUAUUGCACAAUGGGGGAAACCCUGAUGCAGCGACGCCGCGUGAGCGAAGAAGUAUUUCGGUAUGUAAAGCUCUAUCAGCAGGGAAGAAAAUGACGGUACCUGAGUAAGAAGCUCCGGCUAAAUACGUGCCAGCAGCCGCGGUAAUACGUAUGGAGCAAGCGUUAUCCGGAUUUACUGGGCGUAAAGGGAGCGUAGGCGGCCUGCCAAGUCUGAUGUGAAAUACCGGGGCUCAACCCCGGGGCUGCAUUGGAAACUGUACGGCUGGAGUGCAGGAGAGGUAAGUGGAAUUCCUAGUGUAGCGGUGAAAUGCGUAGAUAUUAGGAGGAACACCAGUGGCGAAGGCGGCUUACUGGACUGUAACUGACGUUGAGGCUCGAAAGCGUGGGGAGCAAACAGGAUUAGAUACCCUUGUAGUC